AAGUCGUAACAAGGUAACCGUAGGUGAACCUGCGGUUGGAUCAUUAAUAAAUCAUAAAAGAAGAUUUGAUGUUUAAAAAAAUUUUUUUUUUUUAAACACUUUGUCUUUCUUUUUUAACAUUUUGUGAACUGUUUACUGUUUGUUUGGUAGGGCUUAUAGAGAAAUGAGAUUACUUGAAAAAAUAAUUUCAUAUUUUUGAAAAUCCCUUUUUUUUAUAUAAGGAUUUUUACCUACCAAUUUUAUAAUUUGAACUUUGUAGUAUUUAUUUGUCUUGAAUUAAAUUAUUAUACUAAUUUAAACAACUUUUGACAACGGAUCUCUAGGCUCUC
rnacentral:misc_RNA from 1 species